ACAUUUCCCAAGAAUGGCGGAGAAGGCAUUCUUGCCCAAGGGAACACUUGUAUUGCGGCUGAAACAACGAGGAUGAGGGGGAGAGACAGUCCGAAUGAGGUGGGGGGGAGAAGUCACGCAAGAGGGAGCGUCUCAUGAGCGCUUUUCAGUGAGAGCUUUAUCCUUACGGCAGGAGGAGAUCACUGAAAAGUUUCAAGACGGGGAAUGACAAGAUCAGAAUUGCAUUUUAGAAAGAUCUCCAAGGCAGAGGUGUGGAUUGGAUGCGGGGGAACCUACCAGAAGGCUGAAGAAAUGAUGCAAUGGUGGUCUGAGAUGGUCCGAAUUGAGUAGGGGCCACGGGGAUGGGACAGGAAGGAACAUGAGAUCAGCCUUCGUGGUUGAUUAGGUGUAGGACUUGUGGCGUCUGGAAGAGUUCUGCAGUCAGCCUCUGGUCUCAUGCCCGAUGACCUCCGCAGGAAGACACCCCAGGUUCUGAGUGUUUACAGACAGCAGAGAUAAACACCAUUUCUACUCGUAGCCACGGCCCCCCGCAAACACUCACCCAGUUAUUUCCUUUUGUGGACGCUCACCCUCCCUCCUUAUACAGUGUCUGUCUUAAUCUUGGAGUUUCCUAAACAAAAGUCAUCUUGAAAAUUAUGAUUUUCUACCAGAAUACUCAAGCAUCUCCCGGAGACAACUCUGUCCCAUCAUGUCUAUGUCAGAUAUAAACAGUACUUUAUCUCAUUCUCCAGGCAGCAGCAAGCCAAGACAAAUUCCAGAAUGGAAUUCCAAGAUGCUGGAAAGCAAUAAAGAAGGUGCUAUUUCAUGCGACUGCCGCUAGCCUGUAUGACUCUUCAGUGUUACUGAAAAUGGCACCAGUUCCGCUGGGCUGACGCAGCCCCGGUGGCUUCAUUUCUGCGGCUGACAGCUGAGAGUGGCCCGAGCAGCGACCAGCGUUUUCGGGAGCUCUGCCCUCUGCAGGGAGACGGCUCUCCGUGGUCUCUCACAUCUCUGUACCCCUGCCAGCAGAGGCAACGUCUUCUCAAGGACGUUUGUGCUGCAGACAGCUCGGAAAAUAGAGAUAGCACCUCCCUUUAGAGAAAAGGGCGGUUUGUACUAUCCCGUGUGAUAAAGAUGACUGUCUCCAAGGCCAAGGUCAGGUGUGCUUGCAGCCCGUGAUAAAUGAUUGGGGUCCCUUAGGCACAGGGCUCCUGAGCUGUGAGGCCAGCCCCGCCUGUGCCGCGUCCACCUGAACCUGGCGGACGAGGGGAGCUGAGGGGCAAGCCUGAAGCUGCUGCUGCCGCCAGAGCCGCUGCGUCUGUGUCUCUGACCCGGGAGUCUCAUGUCUUCUGGCAGCAUCCACUCAGCUGGGGCAGGCUAGCAGUUAGCUAGCGAGGAGGGGAAAACCUCAGACCCUUCGGCGUCCUGAACCUCCCGCGGAGCUGACAUUCUGAUGGAGGAAGAAAAAAACAGACCCUUUCCUCUGGCCGCCCUUCCCUUCCUGAUCCAUCGCAGUGACCUAUAAAGAAAAACUUAACUACGGUGGAGAGGCUGCUAUCUAAAGGAACUUCUGACAUGAGGCAUUCCUUCUCCUUUGUUUUGUAAGCUUUAACAGCAGCGUUCACAGGGCGACCGCAUGUGUGUUAACCAGGGCAAGACUCGCUGCCACCAUGACAGACGUAAAGCGCGAGUGACCCAGGUGGACAGGCCCUCGGCUCCGUGCAGACACUCAGGCUCUGGUGGGUGGAGCUGGGGCUCUGGGAGCUGCACCGUCUGGGGCACGGGCUCCCCAGCAAAGUAGAAGAAAGAGGUGACGAAGCACCCACUUUUAAUCGCCUCCGCUCAGAAAGGGCACCCGUCACUUCCACCUCGGGUCCACGGGCCUGGUUAAUGACACGGCCUCGUCCGAGUGGUGAGAAGGGCUGAGAGAUGCAUUUGAGGAAUCCGUUGCGGAGCCCUGUUCCAGCACACGGUCUGUCUACAAAACCUCAAGAAGCAAAGAGGAGAGGAAAUCACGUGGAAUUCGCUAAGUGCCUUCUCAGCGUCAGGCACGGAGACUUUUGUCCCCAUAUUCAUUUUCUGUUGCUGUGUCACAGGUCAUCACAGGCUUAGGGGCUUCAUACAACCGCCAUUCACAGACUCCCAGUCCUGCAGGGCAGACGUCCCGUGGUCCCCCUGGGAGCUGUGCUCAAGGUCUCCAAGCUGAGAUGUCGGUGUUGCUCAGGCGGGCUCUUCCUGGGGCCUCUGGGAAGGAUCCACCCUGAGUUCUUUCAGGUCGUUGGCUGGAUCCGGGUCCUGGCAGCCGGGCACUGAGGGGUCUCUCAGCUCCUUCAUCUUCAAAACCAACGGCGUACGCGGACUCCUCUUUGUGCUUUGAAUCUCUGUGACUUCUCCUGCCACGAGCCAGAGAAAACUCUGAUUUUAUAGAGGACAAGUUACGAGAUUAUCAGGCCCCGGCAGGUCUCAGAGAGCUGGGCGACAUCCUGCCCCCUGCUUCCCAGGCAGAGCCCUUGGGAGCAGAACAGCGGUCCGUGCAGUGGGUCAACCCUGGGCCUUUGUCACGCUCAUCCGGCAUGAAGGAGGAGAAGCACCUUGCCCCUGUGACCUUGAGUGCUGUGCAGCCAGCACAGCCCCCAGGACGCCGGGGCUCGUGAAGGGGAACGAAGCGUCUCACCGCACCACCUGCGUGGACCAAGGGCGAAGGCCGAGAUGAGAUGCGGGACAUUCUAGGGGGUGCUGAUGUGAGCAGGUGACAGUUUGGCCAGAUGCUACCCGCCACCUGGCUCCGUGGUGGAAUGUCAGCCCCCUGGAACUUGGGUGAUAUAAGCCACAGCCUCCGGGAAAAGAAAGGGGGAGUUUCCAUCGUCCCAGCAGGAUGGGAUCUGGAAACAGGAACCAGGUUGAUACGUAGACAAAUGGAAAGCACUGUACUUCUGCACAUCUUGAUUUUUCCAAGGUCUGCACGAGCUCCAUCGCUGGGGAGCCACCGUCCACCCUGGAGGCAAGGAGUUCCCAAGGUCAUCCUGAAACGGAGCAGGACCCUACAGUCCUUCCCCCACGUCCUCUGCCUGCCGUUUGUCUGUGGGCAAAUUUUGGCCAAAGAAUGAGUUUAAUCAGAGAAGGGAGAAGAUGCACAAACAAAGGAAAGCACUCAAAUGAGACCAAAUAAUGCUAGUUGAGUCCUUAAGCAGAGUCAAGGCCCUGUAGCUCCUUCUCAAGGAGGAACCAUGUAUUCUGAGCCAUGUCCUGUGAGCUGUCCUGUAGGUACUGAAACCCCGCCAGGUGGGAGAAGUUAACCACACGAUGACCGGACUGUAGCCGUGACAGAAGCUGCCACAGUUCCAAGAGCUGGCCUCCAAGAAAUGGGGACAAAGCAAGCCUGGAACUGAAGACUAACUGUACUUAAACGAUCAAGCUGACUCUGGUCAGACCACCGCGUGACCAAUGUCUAGAUGACCGUCAGGGCUGACCGUGCUGUUUCUGCAUGGAGCCCCCUCUCUCCGUCUAUAAAAGCUCUUGCCCCCUGAUUGUCAGGGGGUGUGUGGAGGGGAGCUGGCCUUUGGACAGGGGUCCGCCCCUGUCCCCUUCCCCUGCCCAGUUACCGGCCUCCAAAAUAAAGCAAACUCUCCUUUUCACCAGCCUUGCUGCCUUAUUGGCUUUUGAGUGGUGGGCGCCCAGACCCCCCUUCAGUAACAAUCCCAGUCGACAGGGCAGUCCUUCUAACAACGUUGGCCUUCUGCAUCCAUCACAGAGAGGAAUGGGCUUUUCGUGUAAAAGGACGCAUUCUUAUUCAACAACUGUUUAUGCAUCUGCUAGCCACGGUUCUGGGCCCUGGAGAGGCUGCGAGGAACCAGCCAGACGUGGAGCUUAGAAUCUGAUGGGGAAAAGACUCACGGUAAAUACGGAAAAUGCAGAGAUGUCAGGUGCGGGAGGUGCUGCCGAGGAGCUGGGGGUGCGGAAGCCUGAGUGAGAGUUCAGACAGGCGGCCGGGGCGCCGCUGAGAAGCGGACCCUUGAACGCAAGCCGAGGGAGUGGAGGGGGAGGCCGUGUGGACACCCGGGCCUGGGGGCUCCCCGGAGAGGACUCAGCAGGCGCACAGGCCCUGGGACGGUGCACACCUGCCGCUCGGGCGCGGCAGAGACCCAGGGUCUGGAGUGGGGGCGGCCCGGGGGCCCUGGGUGUGCUCAGAGGCGCUCCAGGACAGUGCUUUGCGGCCUUCAGGAGGACUUCGGCGUUUACUCUGAGCGAGAACGCGGGCUCCGCUCGACUCCAGCUUUGGAAAUGCAAGAGGUGGGCGCUGGGAGAAAACCAGAAGAAUUGGGGAACGGAAGCCUCCGCAGCAUCCUGAGAUUCUCAGAGACUUACGGGAGAAUUUAAGACUCUGUGCCGAAGACGGCUGUUCCAAUGUGCUGCACUAUUUCACCGUUUUCCCUGCAGGAGAUGAUGUGAUGACCAGCAACCUCCCUGCCCGUCCGCCCUCAGGCAAACGGGAACCGCCCCCUGCUGGCCGUCAGCGGGAACGCAGGCCAGGCGUUUCUCUUGAGCCCCAGCCUUGAGGGGUACCCCGCCCGGUAGGGUGGGAGGGGGGCGGGACUCUAUUUCUUCCCGUCUGAUCCCUUCCCCCCAGGGGCAGCAGCUCUGCAGGGCGAGGCCGGGUGAUUGUCUGACCACAGGCUCCAGGCAGCGCCUCUCGCUGGCUUCUCCUCGGAUCCCCGACGGCGGCGGUGGGGCGGGGCGGCUGACCUCCAGGCUCCCCUCCCGCAUGGGGAGGGCGCGAGGCAGGCUUCCCCGGGCGCCCCCGGUACCCGCAGAGCUGGUGCCUUCAGGGAUGGGGCUGCCCACGUUGACUUGGCGGGGGGCCCAGACCUGAGGCUGGCGGAGGGCGUCCCCUCCCUCAGGGUUUCGGCUGCCCGUUCAGGACACACGGAGCCCCUGGGAGGAGGCAGGGGCGAGGCCCAGGGUUGGCUCGGCCUGGCUCUGAUCCUUCCUGUCCCCGGCUCGGUCCGGCCCGGGAACAUCUGCUCGCUGGCUCCACACCCAACCUCCAGGCCAUUCAGGGUUCCGGUUAAAGGGCAAAGGUGCCCUUUCUGGGUCCCGCCCAGUGCUGGCGUCCCCGGACGCCCUACCACGUGUGCCCCCCGCUGGUCGCCUCAGCCUGUGUAAGUGCAGGCCCUGUCCCUGGGCCCGGGUGCCUCUGUCGUGGUGUGCUAGGGCCUCCGUGGGAGCGUGCCCGCAUUCACGCAGGGGGCAGGGGGCAUCUGCGGGCUGUGCUGUGUCCACGUGUGAGUUCAGGAACACCCCUGCCUGGACUGCAUAGUGUCCCCCCAAAUUCCUAUGCCGAAGCCCUAAUCUCCAGUGUGACUGUGUGUGGACGUGGGACCUUUAAGGCAGUGAUGAAGGUUGAAUGAGGUCAUAAGGGUGGCCUGGUGUUCUCGUGAGAAGAGGCACGGAUGCCGGGGGGGGGGACACCUGCACGGGGAAAAGGCCGUGAGAGACACAGCAAGAAGGCAGCGGUCUGCAAGCCCAGGAGGGAGCCUGCUGCAGACAUCAACACUUGACCUUGGAUUUCCAGCCUGCAGUAACUGACAAAAGAAUGUCCCCAGUUCAAGCCUCCCAGUCCAGGGUGUUUUGUCCCGGCAGCCCGAACAGACUAACACAAUUCCCCCGUGCUUUUCUGAUGGGAUGUCAAACAAUGGGAAGCGAGAGAGACGGUCUAUUCUAAGACACUGUCACUCAGAGUGAGGCAGAGAGGCUGGGAUGGGAGGGGAAAGCAGGAAACAGGACGGGAGCAAAAGCUGACUGAUGUCAGGCUCCCCCAGGACCUCCAUCCUGUGGGUUGCAUCCUGCUUCCUUUUCCUAAUUGUCAUCAGGAGACUGCAGCGGGGCCCAGUGACCCUCCGUGGCCUCCCGUUUGCCAAGAGAAGACUCCUCCCAGCCGGAGCAUAUGCAGCUAACUCCCCUGCAGCUGGAGCUCUCCCCCGGCCCAGGCAAGCAUUUGUGGAGAAAGAAAGGAGGAGUCCAGUCACGAACACUAUAUGCAGGAGGCGGCUGCCAUCUCCCCUACGAGGGCCUUGAGACCUUUGACGGAGGAGUCAAGCGCCCUCAUCCCUAACUGCUGUAGGCAGCGCUGCCCUGCUCUCAGAAGCGGGUUUUCCUGACGCCUCCGGGGGCUCCAAAAGCCAGCUGUUUCUGCUUGCAUCCCUCCUGCAAACAGACACUAUACCUAAGGCUCGAGGUUAAGGGUCAGUUCCUGCAUUUGUUCUGCUGAUAUUUUUGCCGUUUCCUCGCCGCCAUUCACUGCUUCCUGCCGCUUCCUCCCUUGCGCUCUCUAAGCCGAGAGUCCGUUACCGGGCCCUUGCUGCAACCGUCGACGAGAUCCCGGCUUAGGAAGUGCGCAGAGGCUCCCAUCCGAUCUCCGCAAUCACCCUCCAGAAGGAGAGCCUAUGAGCUCCAGUUUACAGAGGAGGGAACGUGGGCCCAGAGAGGGGCCUACCCUGACCGAGGCUGCAAGGCUAACGCACGUUCAGGUCAAGACCGGAGCUCUGUCUCCUCUAAGCCUGCUCCCAGCCUCUCCAGGCCUGCCCAGGGCCCCGGGACGGAGCGGGGACGGCUCUGGCAGGGCGUCCUGAAGGGGCGCCGUGAGCCCCAGCGGGGCCGCGCUGCCAGAUUUCCACCCCUUGUCUCCUGGGUUUCCGAGCCAGCGCCCGCCGACCCGCCCGGGGCUGCGGGGCCACGGCAGGCCCAGGACCCCGCUUUUCUGGGCACGUGACACUCACCACCACCACCAACGGCGAGACUCUGGUGAAUCGAGCUGUAACCCUUCCUACAGGAAGAUCAGGGGCCCAAACCCAGUCACAAAGGUGAAGGCGGCCCCAGAGAGAAGGGGAUGGCAACUUCUAACAAGAUCAGACAGAAAGACAGCUCUGUAUGUUUUUUUAAAAAACUCAGCAGAAACCGCCAGCUCCCAGGUGGGAAGAAACGGUCUGGAGCCAGCCCGAGUCCGGGACACACUCGUCGCGACCUCGCCGGCCCCUCCCUCCACAGCCUGGUCCCUCCAGCCACUGGGGGUCACAGGCCCUGAGUGCAGAGUCCGGCAGCCACCCAGGCCAGCGCCCGGGGCCAAAUAGGAGAAGGAAUCCAGGUCGAGGCUGGGCUUUGAGCAGAGUUGACGGAUUAAUCUUUGUAGCAAGCGCUGUCUCCAAUGCACCCACAUCCUUUAACACUCAGCUCCCAGAGCACACGAUCUCCCCCAAACAGAGGUCGGUUUGCAGACUUCCUUUGCCCUCAGUUUAUUCCCCAAUCUCGCGCACCAGCUUCUAAGGAUCGGUGAAAAAUAGUUCGGGUGACUUCCCUGAGCAGCUCGGAGAGGAGUUAAGCCCGGGAGGGAGCCCAGGGACCCGCGGGACUCCUGUCACAAUUAGGUCCCGUGGGGACACGUUGAUUUCUGCGAUCGGGUUGCAGGUUAGGGCCUGAUGCAGCCACAGGCUCGGAGAGUUAGGGAUUGAAACCGCAAGCCAUCAUGGACCGGAACAGGCCGCUCAGCUCCACGGGGAUCAAGCUUGGAAAAGACAGUGACAGUUUCAAGACCUGGAGCUGGCACCCUCAAGGUUCUGGAAGAGGAAAGGGAAAAGAGAGAAGUGUGUGCGGGGGCUUCCACGUUCCAAUAGGAGUGCGUUCCCAGACCAGCAGGAGACCGCUGAAGCUGUGAAGCAGGAGGGGACUGUUUGCAGGACCAGCACCUGGAUGCUGCUUGUGCAGGUGACCCAUCGCCUCCCCCAGCCCGUGCCCAGGUCACGUGUGCUUAUCAGCUGGCUGGAGGAUUUGCUCCGUGAAAAGGGGCAGCUGGUCCUUCUCGGACUUUGCUUGGGUUUCUGGGGCAGGGAACCUAGAGGUCAAGUUUAAUGAGCGUCUUUCCGGCUCACCGGGAAUGGAAAACACGCUUGUGGGUGAGGAGGAAGCUGAUCAUAGCAAAUAAACCCAUUUCCUGAGGGCAGGCAUCAGCCUGGGACGGGCCUCUCUGCAGGUGAGGAGCAAGCCGGCUUCCUUAACCUGUGCACUGAGCCGAGACCCAGGGGGCGUGGCGGGGUCUCGGCGGCUGUGGCUGAUUCAGAUGCUUUGGCUGACCCGGCCCAGCUGACUGGCUGCACCGUGGCGGCCUGGUUCAAGCAGCCCUCAGACCGCCUUUUCCGGGGCCUCCAACGGUGGUGCUGACAUUUCAUACGCAUGUUGGAAUAUAUGCACAGGAAUUGAAAAUGUUCUCGGUAAUCAAAGAAAGCCUCAAGAACACUACUACUGUAAAACAGUGAUGUGAACAUUGAUAUCACAAUGCUAUUAAGGAAAAAAAAAAUCAAAAGCUUCACUGCUUCCUUUCCGAGCCUUUACUAAGACCAGAAGUGAAACAGACUCCCUGUGACUUUAGCCUCCAGAGUGUAAACUUGGCCAAUCUGUCAAGCAAAUAACACGUGGUGACUGUGUGACUUUGGCUGGCGUUACUGGGCAAAUAUCAGAGAAACACGUCACUUGUUGCCAGGACGCAGGGCCUGCGGCACUGAAACCAGGACAGUCCAGGGCAAACCGGGACUUGGUGUAACGCCCAUCCAGGCCCAACCCAGGCUACCUACUGAAUUCCUGCCUGCUUGUCAAGGCUGGGAUCUCCGCUCUGAGAAGGCCCGUGGCGCUGUGAUCCAUCCAAAUGCUCUCCUGGUUUGUGGCACUAGUGACGUGCUGUUCUUUUGUGCUCAGCUCUUCCAGGUACAUCCACGAACUAUAGCACUAGCAUGGCCUGGGAGCUUGUCAGAAAUGCAGGGUCCCAGCCUCAACCCUUAAAUCUGCACAUUUCACAAGGUCGCCAGGAGGUUGGUACACAAUUUGCGAUGCCGUCCUAAUUCUCCAUUUGGUUUGAGAGGUGGACUUGUUUCUCCCAACCAGGGGUACAAACAGCCCCACAGAACGAGGGUCCCCUCCUGCCAUGCUGGGUACAACGUGGGCACUCGGGCACCUUAACUGCUGGGACUACGUGGGGGGCCCCCAAACGUGCUUGGGAGUGACCUCAGCCUCUCCCCUCACAUCCUGUUCCCAGUUGCUUCCGAAGGAGUUUCACAGACCAAAGAACACGGACGUAUAUCGCAAUGAGUGCUGCGUAUCUGGUUAAGGAGUCCGGACGUUGUCACUCUUCUCGGCGACUUUGCGUCUGAGCCCCUCCCUGUGUGACGCGAGGCUCCCCGACCCUGAGUCUUGGUGGGAGACAGGCGAUGCCAGGUUUACGUUUUCCUCCGCAGCCGAAACUGUGAGUAGUGAGACCCCCCCGAGAACGGCGCGUCCUCAAGUGCCAACUAAGAGUGUGGGCCUGUGACCUUGGCCUCGCCCUUCAGACACUCUCCACACUGGACCGGGCCACCGGUCCCGCCGGAGGGGGUCCAUUGAGCACGAUUCUGGGGGCAGGGUGGUGAUCACAGCUGCAGCCAGGGGGGGCGGAGCAGGUGGAGACCCCAGACCCACGGGACAGAUGGUGGGUCUCGCCCUGGGCUGGUCCACGAUGAGGUGUUUCUGGGUGUGGCAGUGACGUCUCUGAACCUGAUUCUCAGAUUUUCCAAUCCUUUCAGCUUCUCGGUAUACUUUCGGUAAAUACCAUUUCUGCUUUAUGCAGUCGCUUCCUUUUACGAGCACUGACUUUCAGGAAACAUAUGUUCACUUGUGAAGGUCAGGGCCUCCCUUUCUAAAGAGCCUACUGGUAACAAGGAGGCAGGAGAAACCACGGGCUUCACGGAGACUAAUUAGCGCUUGAGAGUCGAAUCGAAAAAUUCUACCUUCUGCUUUCCUACCACAUCCUCUAAGUGUGAACAGAUCAGGGGCGUGAUUACACUGGAAGACGUUCAGGCCAGUCCCAGGGAGCUGCGGAGUGUUGUACACGUUGUACUCCUUCACACAGGAAAAGAGAGAGCCAUCGUUAUUGCUUUUUCACUUUGGAAACGGCUGGAUCUGGCACACAGAACUCAGUCAAUCCAUCACAAAUAUGUACCGAACACCAGCCAUAUGCAGACUUGGCUCAAACUUGACCCAGUCUGCUUGGCAGAGAACAUGUGAACCCAGACUCACAUCAGCCCACAACUGGAAUCAGUUAGACUGAUUUGUGGUCUGCUUUAGAAAAUUCUGAAAAACUGAAUAUCUUCGUAAACCUUCCAUUCUCCCUGCGGGGUUUUUUCUCCCCCUUCUUUUUGGGGGACGUGAGAAAGAGAAGGAAAGAAAUAGUGUCCUCCAAAGGGCUUAUUAAUCAUGACCAGAGCUUCCUUGUUAAAAACAAAACAAAAACCUCAGAGAAGAAACUUAUCCCCUACUCUCCAGAAAUCAGCCACGAUGACCUUUUCCGGUGGAAGCCUGGCCCUCACGGGCUAGGGCCGUCGCACCGGUAAAGCCCGUAGCAGCAGGGAUCCCCCCAAGGAGCCUUGAGUGGCGUUGCUUCUGAGCUCGGCUUCUAGGUGAUGAUAACGUAAUGCCCGGGGUGACAGGUUUCUCACUCGAGGACCUUAAAAAGUGAUUAGGGCGACAGAGAACAGGGACCCUCGCAGGGGACAAAGGUGGCGUCAGGAGAAAUCAGGAAAGGCUACGUUUAAAAAGGUAGGUUUGAGGGAGGUACUAAGGGAUGGGCAGAUUUUGACUGGUGAGGGGAAGGAUGGGGAAAAAGCAUGUUAAGAGUGUAUCCUGUGAGGAGAGGGAUGGAGGUGGGGAGAGCCUUGGGGGGCAGAAACUGGUCCAGUUUAACUGAGAUACAGAGUGCGUAAAGGGGCGUCUCGGGGGGGCAAGCAGGAAGGGCAGAUCUGCAUCGGGGGCCCUUCAAUGCUGUGUCAAGGGGUUUCAAAGAGAGUCGCAAAGUAACGGGGAUUCUCUGAAGCCUUUGGGAGGGUUGCGUCCGUCGGGUGGACUCGGUGCUGCUGCUCUAAUAAACGACCACUAAACCCCGAAGGCUUAAGACCGCAAGCUGGACUUGCCGUGUGUGUUACAUUCAGCUGCAGGCUGCCCUGCACGCUGUCCUUACACCGUCCUUACCCCGGGACUCAGGCCGGUGGGGCUGCUGCCGUCGGGGGCGCACCGGUCACUGUGGGAGAAGGAAAAGAAAAGCUCUGGAGGGUCUCACCCCAGCGCCUGAGCGUUCUGCCUGGAAGUGACACCGCCCCGGCGCACAAGACUCCCGAGAAGCAUGCCUUGACCCUGUUGCCAAGAAGCAGUGGCUGGAGGUGCUUUAGGAGAGGUGCUGACGAUCGGGCUGCGGGCGGCCCCCAGCCGGAUUCUCGGGUGAACGUCUUCUGGUGCAGGUCUGGAUGUUGAUUGAAAGGAUAACGGGGCACAGCCGCCUUCUGAAAGGCUGUUGCGACCAUCCGGGUGGAAAAGAAUUACCUGCUUAAGUAGGAAUGAGGAGAAGGGGGUCGGAUGGACCAAAUGUUACAGAAAAGGGUUUUGUAGACUGGGCCGACCAUCUGGACGAGGUGGUGAGGGGCGGGGAAGGCUUGAAGACGCCCCCCACUUCCAGCCUGGAAGGCUCAGGACGGCAGUGCCAGGACUUGGAACAGGGAACGGGGAGGGAGGGCCCGUUCUCUGCGACGAAGUUGAGUUACCAGCGGAGGAAAAAAUGGUGCUUACCUGUUUUAUUGCGCAAAACAAAAGCAAAGCAGAGCCCAUUCAACUGGCAACCCACCCACGAGCACCUGGUCCUAGCCUUGCUCGGCAGAUCUGAUGAUUCAUCGUGAAACGCUGCUGGGAAAUAAGCCGUCCACAGGGCUUAUCCACAGGCUGGGAAAUAAGCCUCCUCCGCAGGCAAGUUCUUCUUCUUUCCUUUCAGAUGACUCCAACUUUUGCUCACUUUGUGCUGAAGGGAAACUGUCCUAGCUGCGUGUGGAGUGCCCGACUUGUCGCCAGCUCCGUUCCAAACAAGUGGCACGUUCCUCUCUAUCAUCCCCGCGUCAUCGCUGAUGUCUUGGUUGUGGAAGGUACUUGGACCGAAUGAAGGAAUUCGGCCUUUCAUAUCAGCUCGGGACACUCUUAGCACCUGGACUGCGUCCUCCUGAUGCUUUAAGAUGUGGCCGAGCGCGCGCGGUGCGUCCCGCGGACACACGUCUGCGCUGCGGGCCCCGCCCUCCCCUGCCGGCCUCUCGGCAGCCGUGUCGGGUCCCUGGAGACUCUCCCUGUGCUAACAGCCUUGCCCGAGUCCCCAACGCCCGACACGCAAGGUGAGCAAAAGCUCUCAUGGGAGUCCAGCCAGUACGCGGCGUGAGACCAGAGGAGCCUGUCUUGUGAGAAAAGCCACGAGCUUCGGUACCAGGAGGUAAGGCGAGCAGCGAGCAGCUUCUCGGAGCGGGUGGCACAGGCUGAGCGCUCCCCACCGAGGUCACGCACGAGAGGCUUUGAGAGCGUUUCUGUGUGGUGCCCCCCCGGGCCGCGCCUGGGCCGCUCAGCCUGUGAGGCCCAUUUUGCAGAGGAGGAGAUGGGGCUUCACGAGGCCCCACGGCUUCUGGGCGACAGCAUCAGGAGGCCAGCCUAGACGGCUGCACCCCAAAACCCACACUUCGCAAUGCGGUUUUACCGAUUUCCUGGAGGCCUUUCUGUGCUCUCGUUUUUCUCCCUUCCUCCUCCUCCUCCUCCUCUUUCUCUUUCCUCUCUCUCUCUCCUUCUCUUUCAUUUUGCAGAGGAGGAGAUGGGGCUUCGCGAGGCCCCACGGCUUCUGGGCGACAGCAUCAGGAGGCCAGCCUAGACGGCUGCACCCCAAAACCCACACUUCGCAAUGCGGUUUUACCGAUUUCCUGGAGGCCUUUCUGUGCUCUCGUUUUUCUCCCUUCCUCCUCCUCCUCCUCCUCUUUCUCUUUCCUCUCUCUCUCUCCUUCUCUUUCAUUUUGCAGAGGAGGAGAUGGGGCUUCGCGAGGCCCCACGGCUUCUGGGCGACAGCAUCAGGAGGCCAGCCUAGACGGCUGCACCCCAAAACCCACACUUCGCAAUGCGGUUUUACCGAUUUCCUGGAGGCCUUUCUGUGCUCUCGUUUUUCUCCCUUCCUCCUCCUCCUCCUCUUUCUCUUUCCUCUCUCUCUCUCCUUCUCUUUCAUUUGCAGUUAUUUUGACACUCAAGCUUUUACUCUGGAGAUGCAAAUCUGCCAGAAACCUGAACUUCAGGUAAGUUAUUUCUACUGUGUGGUUUUAUAUUUGCCCUCAGGUGGUCUAAAAUUUGGCUGAAGACUUGGGGCAUGAGAUACACUGUGAGAGAACCAGAAGAGAUAAUUCCUCACUCAGUGACCGAUCAGAAGUAAGGAAAUGUUCGUAAGUCUUUAAUUCCCAGCACCAUUGGUGCAUUCUCAUUGCCUUAGACGCCAGUAUCCUAUUAGCCUUUGGUGCCAGUAUCCCGCCUCGAUCGGUUUCCAGAUUGUACCCUUUGUACUGUUCCUGAAAUGCCCCUCCCUCACGACCCCUCCAUCAGAAAUUAUGUUUAGCCUUCAAGACACAAUUCAGGUGACAGCUUCUUCUAGACGCCUUUCCAAGCUCAAGCUACAAUUAGUAGCCUCCUUCUGGGUCCCUUUUCUACUUGAUGGGAUCUCUCCACAUGGAUCUUUUAUUUGUUCUUCCAGAAGUUUGUGGUGGUGUGCUUUUCUCCCACGAAAUUACGCCUGAGAGCCAAGAGCAAGACCCCAAACCUCUCCUGGUUCUAGAAGGGCGUUAGUCCUCCUGUUUCUGAUGGCUGAAGUCUUCCUGUGGAAAGAGACUAUGUCUUUUGGCAAAAUCAUGCAUCAAGUCCGGCUCAGACAAUGCCACCGUGAAGAAUUCUGUUCUCUGUUGCUCUCUGAUGCCACUGCCAGUAGGAAAUUACUCCUCACAACAUAAGCCUUGGGAUGUGCUAAAUGAAGCUGGAAUUUCUUUGUCCUGUUCAUGCUACAGCAGGCCAACACGGCAUGGCAUUUUGAGCCUUCUCAGUAAGCUUCAAGAUGUUUUACAAUUCAAAUUAAUAAGCCUUCAGAAUUCAUUUCACUGGGACUUUAUGAAGCUUGCUUUACUCUAAUACGAUUGUCAAUGCAAGUGACUCUUUAGCUUAUUUGCUUGAGAAUAUGACCUACACCAAAAAUUACAGGAAAGGUCAGCAAAUUAAGCGGGUAGCUGUACUUAAAGGUGUGUGGGGCGCUGCCCACGAAACCUCAGCAGUGAUGGCGCCAAUAUUUUUAUGGCUCCCCCAUCAGUAUGGGAAAGGUCAGCAAGCAGAUCUUUUGAAACUAAUCUUCAAUUUUUCUUUUCAUAAAUGACCGAUUCAACAAUAUGGACUGGAAAUAUACCUCGAUAAAAACUUUCAAGGUGUGAUGUGUGUUAUUUACCUAGUGAAUUCAAAUAUUUAUCGAAUGCUUACUACGUACCAGUCACGGUUCUAGGCACUUGGGACAUAGCAGUAUAUAAACCAGGCAAAAAUGCCUGCUUCAUGGAGCCUUUUGGACAGAUCACCUAAGCACUGGUAGGCCUGUUCGCAUUCCUGGAAUGUGGAUUUUAUUGUGCUCGUCUUAUUGAUGAUAGACUGAAGCUCCAGCAGAAUAGGAAGCUUGAGCAAGAUCAAAAUAGCCAGUCAACAGACAAGUCUGAAUCCACGUCAGUUCUUUUGGUUGCAAGUCUUGCCUCUGCUGGAUUUACUUUUCCCAAAAUUGUGUUCUUGACUGUUCCCCAGGGGGUAGGUGUUUCAUAAAACUUAAGAUUCCAUAUUCCAAUAUGUCUGGGAAAUUCUGUUUGGUCACGGGCUGGUUCUAGAAGCAGCUGCCAAGGUGCACUUUUGCACAGAAGAAGAUUCUGAGGCCACGCUCCUAGGAUCGACGCGCGGGGAAGAGAAGGGAUGGGCUGGAGGCAGGAUCAGACGGGGAGGGCGAGCGGCGGUGCAGUCUUAGGGGCGGCCUCAGAUGGGGCUGCGGGGAUUCUGAAGAUGACAUGAGCCUGCAAAGCUGCCCUGGGGGAGAGGGGGAAACAGCCGGGCCUUUACACCCCCAGACCAAUCAUUGUUUGGCUGUCGCCCAUCCCCGGAAGGAAGCAUGACCUUGGACAAGGUAGCUCGGUUCAGCAGAGCCAAUCACCAAAGGUGGCCGACAGCUGAGGGGCGCCCCCAGGGGCACUGCCAGCAGCCGGGCAGUGAGUCCUCCUCCAAAGGGACAUCUGGGGGGCACAACACAGCAUCCAACCGCCCGCGGUAUCUGUAAGCACGAGAUGAACUGAAACACAACAGUUUCUUCUACUGCUGUCUGCUUCCAGCCUUCAAAGGGCAAGUACAUACUGUGCACCUCGAAGAGGGGGAUUUACUGUGCAAACUCUUCCACGUUUAUUUAAGCUCAGAGUCCUUUUGGGGAUCCAUAUUUUUUAACAUUCUCUAAAAAACAUACCUAGGAUGCUUGUGUACCAGAAAUCACCGUGCGACUGGACGAGCACAAAAAGAGAGAGAGGCAAGAUGCAGUAGGGUACAAAACUGACUCAAAAUGGAUCAUAGACCUAAAACUGUAAACCUCUUAGAAGAAAGCGUCAUAAAUGUAGAUCUCUGUGAUCUUGGUUUAGGCAAUGGCUUUUUUAGAUGUAACACCAUAAGCACAAGUGACAAAAGAAAAAUAAACUGGACGUCAUCAAAAUUUUUUAAUUUUGUCCUUCAUAGAACACAAUAAGGAAAGUAAAACAGUAACCUACAGAAUAGGAGAACUUAUUUAUCUGCAAAUCCUAUAGGUAAUAGGAGACUUGUAUCCAGAAUACGUGAGGAAAAAUUACAACCCAACAAUAAAACGGCAAAUAACUCAAUUUUAAAAUGGACAAAGAAUUAAACAUUUUUCAAGAAAAGGUUUACAAGUGGCCAAUAAGCACAUGAAAAUAUUCCCUCAUGGAAAUGUAAAUCAAAACCACAGUGAGAUACCACUUCAUUCCCAAUGGGAUGACAAAGUCAAAAAGACAGAUAAUAAUAAGCGUUGGUGAGGAUGUGGAGAAAUUUGAACCCUCACACACUGCUGGUGGGAUGUAAAAUGGUGCAGCCACUUUGAAAAAUAGCUUGGCAGUUCUUCAAAAGCUUGAACGUAGAGUUACCACAUGACUCAGCAAUUUGACUCCCCGAUGGAUACCCAAGAGAACUGAAACAUAUGUCCACGCAAAAACAUCUGUACAAAUACUCAUAGCAGCAUUUUUAAUAAGAGCCUCAAAGUGGAGACACCCCAAAUGUCUAUCAACUGAUAAACAGAUAGCCAAAAUGGGGAAUAUUACUUGGCUAUAAAAAGGAAUGAUGUAAUGAUACAUGGGAGGGCCACAGACUUUGUCCACUGACACAAAGGAAGCUUGUCAGAGCUCUCUCGCAAGUGAAAAAAAUCUCAAACAACUACAUUUUUAGAGGAGAGGAAGGAGAAAUGUAUUGGCUAGUGUAACUGGGAAACUGAGAGCUGGAGUUUGCUUCCAACUCUCAUCCGAGGAGACAAAAUGGUUCCCAGCAACCACAGAUUCUCCCCCUGAAAUGCUUAGCAGUCCUGGCAGAAAGACAGAUGCUCUUUUCCAACAUCCUUACAGCCACCAAAGGGAAGAAUUUGAUUGGUGCUGCUUGGGACACAGAUUUACUCCUGAACCAAUCACUAGCGCCAAUGCAGUGAUUUACCGCUUCAUGAUUUCUCGGCUGGAUUACCAUAAUAACCUCUCCUGGGUCUCCAACCUCCAUCCCCUCAAUCCACUCUUCCAACUGUGGCCACAGUGAACUUUCAAAAAUGCAACUGCGGAUCCAACUUCACCUUGAUUUACCUGUUUCUCGUUUGGUCAGAAUACCUUCAGUCUAACUGUAUAGUAUAUGAAAUUGGAAGUUCUGGCAGACUCACCAAGAUACAGUAAGUAUCCGUUUCCAGGUGGGAACUUGUAAAAAGGAUUAACCAAAAACUGGUUAAACUCUCAAGUCCCAGCCCUCACUUGGAGGCUAUAAAAUAAGUCAAAAGUCGAUUCGAAGAAGGAGGAUAUGUGAGAACAAUUUCUUUGGAGAGAGCUGUGCUAGGAGGCCUCCCCCCAAAACAGGAAAGGUGGGGGGAUGUACCCCCAGCAUCUGCAGAGAACGGGUGGCUCUAGGUGCUCCCCGGAGACUUCAUUAGUGUCCCUGGACUUGGGGCUGGUGGACACGGUAGACUAGGCUGUUGUCUGACUGUCCAUUGAGAAAUCUAAACGGGUGAGAAGACAGGCUAGCUAGCUGCUGACGGGCAGAUCAGAACAGAGGUGGGGGCUCUGGGACCGGCCUGCGUGUGCAGAGUUUGUUGGGACAGAUGGAAUGAGAGGCUUUCCGUGGACCUGAUGUGGGCAAGACCAAAAGCAACCCAACGAUGUCAGCUUAGGACAAGUUAUCAAACUUUAACUAAAGCAGAGAAGCAUCCACCCAGGUACGAGAUCUCUGGAGUGGGCAUUGGGGGGGUGAGAAACAGGGUCUCCAAACAACCCUCAAAAGUGCCCCACAAGAUAAAGAGCUUUCAACAGCUGCCAACUUUCAGAAAGCCCAGAGCCAGGUCAUGACCGUGUCACUUAAGUAAAAACUCUCCUUACUCCUCUGACCCGUCCUCCACACUCCCCGCGCCCACGAGCCGGCACCAGCCCCAGAAAGACAAAAGCUGGGGGACAAAGACUGAAGAAACCAUUUCCCAAGAGGCGGGCCACCAGCAGGAAAGGAAUUGCAACUUGGCGUGGUGUUGGACACUUUUCUUGUUACGUGGGAUUGGCCGUCAAGAAUGCGGACGGUAUUUUACAACUUAAAAUGACUGGCAGAAUUUUAUUAUUUAAGAAAAUUUUUUUAAACAGCUCAAAUUUUAAUCCAGCAACAGGAGAAUAACUUCUCCCACGGAAAAAGUCUUAAAACACAAUUGUGUUGUGGUUAUAUAUCAUAAUCCUACUUGGUUAAUGUACGAGUUACAUAAUAUGCCAGUUAUAUAACACUUCUCAUAGGGCUCUCCCCUUAGACCAGGGGUUGGCAACUUUUCCUCUGUGGAAGGUCAGAGAGGAACUAUCUUAGAUUUUUUGAGCCCUAAAGUCUCUGUUGCAACUACUUAACUGCUGUUAAGGCUGCAAAAGCAGCCACGGAUAAUCCUUCAGUGAAUGGGUGUGGCUGGUUCUAAUAAAACUUCAUUUGCAAAAACAGGUGGAGGGCCAAAUUGAUCUCACGGGUCACAGCUUGGGGCAUCCCUGCCCCAGACUGUCGGCUUCUUGAAGGCGGGAGCUCUGCUUGGCUGUUAUUGUAUCUGAAAGGCCCUGCACAUCGUAGAUAAUAACAACCGGAUGAAAAAAUAGCAGUAGCUUCUUCAUUAACUAUAAGGCAGAUCAGAUUCAACUUAACCAAUCCCUUUCGUUAUCUUUUUAUAAAGUCCCAAGAGAAAAGAGCUGGUGGUGUCCUUAGGGAGAAGAAGUGGAAUUCAAAGAGGUUGACUGCAGUCAAAAGAAACUCUUUCUUUGAGGGCGACCCGGUGGUACCUCAGAGCAGCUCAGAGCAGCUUCAGCUUCUCUUUGUAACCGAGGGAAGGCAGGCGUUCCACUGAGCUCUAACAUUCUAGGAGUUGAGGAUGAAUGAGCUUGGAAAUUGGUGCAAGCUAUGUAAACCCCGGUAUAGCCGGCCCUGGCAGAUAAAGGAAAUCUACAACCUUCAUAGAUUAUGGAAAAGACAAGCCUGCCUAAACUGUCAGAACGAUGGGGAAAGAGACGGCUUCUGAACCUGAAGGAAGAAGCAACCCAAAAGUCCACGGACAGCUGGAUGGGUAAACAAAGCAUGGCCUAUCCAUACAAUGGAAUAUUAUUCAGUCCUAAAGAGGAAGUAGAUUCUGACACAUGCUUCGGCAUGAAUAAACCUUGAGGGCAUUAUGCUAAGUGAAAUAAGCCAGUCACAAAAGUCCAAAUAUUGUAUGAUACCACUUAUAUGAGGCACCUAUAGGAUAGUCAAAUUCACAAACACAGAAAGUAGGAUGGUGGGUACCAGUGGCUGGGACGGGGGGUGGUGAGAGUUACUGUUUAACGGGUCCAGAACGUCUGUUAGGGAUGAUGUAAAAGCUCUGCAGACGGAUGGUAGUGAUGGUUGCCCAACAUUGUGAAUGUACUUGAUGCCAUGGAGUUGUACACUUAAAACGGUUACAUUGGUAAUUUUGUUAUGUAUAUUUUACCACGAAAAAGAAGAGUUCCCCCAUGCAGACAUCAAAUGAUUAAAUAUUAAAAACAAUUUCAAUAAUCCUUAAAAAACCCCACACAAUUAACUUUCCUUCAUCUGUUCAUUCAGUUCUCUUAACUAAUUCUUGUACCACUGGCUCAUGGGUCAGCAAGCUGCUUUUGCAAAGUUAUUUGCUUUUGGACUGGAGAGAGCUGAGAAACGCGCCUCUUGUCUGAUACAAGCUGUCAGAGUUGUGUAAGUGAUGCCACCUUAAUUAAA